rnacentral:lncRNA from 1 species
ACCUUGUAUCCAAUGCAUCAAGAGCAAACCAACACAAAACAUUUCCUUGUAACUUCUUCAUACUUCUUUCCUGUACUUUAAAAAAUGUCAUCCAAAGCAGAUCUUGCAAGAAUAGAAAAAGAAGGCUUCGCUAUUCUGGAAGCGUUCCACAGAAAAAAGACGAGGCCUAAUCCACAAAAAUCUUAUGUUCCACCACAGUACCAACCACAACAGUCCCACCUUUAUCAGGUAAAACCAGACGAGAUUAUGAACUGCCACGAGGUGGUGCAUUAUCACAAUGGUGUGAUAGUUCAGGAUUUCAAUAAGAAAUCUCAAGCUAUAGCUCCUUAGACUCUCUUUUUGGACUGGUUUAUAUGUAAUAGGAUGAGUGUAUGUGUGUGUGUGUGUGCAUAGUUAAGUAUGCUUCCUUUGUAUGAUACAAAUGUGGAGUCACUUAUAUAUAUGCUAGUCACCUAGCAGUUUUAUGGUUGUAGAUGGAGUCUGUAACACUUUGUUAUACUAGUUGAAGUAUUAUCAGCUUCAGUAUUAAAUCAUUAUUCUUCCACCCUUCCACCCACCCUACAAACGGAACCGAUCAGAGCAUGGUCCUAUUAAGGCCGAAGUAGUGUCUUCAAGCCUGUUCAGUCCCUUUUUUUUUAAUUGAAAAAUAGCUCAGUGAAGAACACAAUUUCUAUUGAAUUUCAUCAAGAAUUUGGCAUAUAGGGUAAAGCUAAAUCAUGAGAUGAAAUGUUACAAAAGGUAUAACUGACCGUGAAAUGAUGUAAUAUCUGAUCAUGGUCAAGUGGCGUUCCAUUAAUACAAAAUGUUGGAAGUCUUUUUUCCAGCUAGUUGAGUUUCCUCAAGCCUUCACUUGUUGAAAUUCGGAUGUGCAUUGUUAUCCCACCUAUCUCGGGUAUGUAAAUAGAGUUGUUAAGGUGUCAAGUGGAAGUACGUAAAAAUAUGUUGACAUGACACAAAUUGGUUAAGUUUAACUUUACAAAUGUUUCAUUUUAACUUUCAUUUUUCAAUUGAAAAUCGUACUCAUUCGUAUACCAAAUCAUUGAACCUUUACUAGUUUUUUGUUAAAUUCUACAACAUGGCACACGGACGAAUUGUAUGUUUAUGUGUCCAUUGAAUAUAAGUGGCACACACAAAAAAUAAUUAAAUGAAUUUGUUUAGCAUUUUCAUCAAUUCUUUUUUAAUCCAACAUACUACAAGAUUACUAAUGUGUAGUACGAAUUAUUUUGUAGAUUAUAAUCCAUUAAAGCAUUAUGAGUAGC